rnacentral:tRNA from 1 species
UACUUGCUGGUCUGGCGUCAGGAUUCCUGGUUCUCACUCAGGCUACCCAGGUUCAAUUCCUGGGCAGGGAA